rnacentral:rRNA from 1 species
GUAGGUGGCAAGCGUUGUCCGGAAUUAUUGGGCGUAAAGCGCGCGCAGGCGGUCCUUUAAGUCUGAUGUGAAAGCCCACGGCUCAACCGUGGAGGGUCAUUGGAAACUGGGGGACUUGAGUACAGAAGAGGAAAGCGGAAUUCCACGUGUAGCGGUGAAAUGCGUAGAGAUGUGGAGGAACACCAGUGGCGAAGGCGGCUUUCUGGUCUGUAACUGACGCUGAGGCGCGAAAGCGUGGGGAGCAAACAGGGAUUAGAUACCCUGGUAGUCACGCCGUAAACGAUGAGUGCUAAGUGUUAGGGGGGUUUCCGCCCCCUUAGUGCUGCAGCUAACGCAUUAAGCACUCCGCCUGGGGAUACGGCCGCAAGGCUG